rnacentral:rRNA from 1 species
CCGUUAUAACCGGCGAUACCCGAAUGGGGAAACCCAGUGUGACUCGUCACACUAUCAUUAACUGAAUCCAUAGGUUAAUGAGGCGAACCGGGGGAACUGAAACAUCUAAGUACCCCGAGGAAAAGAAAUCAACCGAGAUUCCCCCAGUAGCGGCGAGCGAACGGGGAGGAGCCCAGAGCCUGAAUCAGCAUGUGUGUUAGUGGAAGCGUCUGGAAAGGCGCGCGAUACAGGGUGACAGCCCCGUACACAAAAGCGCAUGUGCUGUGAGCUCGAUGAGUAGGGCGGGACACGUGGUAUCCUGUCUGAAUAUGGGGGGACCAUCCUCCAAGGCUAAAUACUCCUGACUGACCGAUAGUGAACCAGUACCGUGAGGGAAAGGCGAAAAGAACCCCGGCGAGGGGAGUGAAAAAGAACCUGAAACCGUGUACGUACAAGCAGUGGGAGCACAGGUUUACCUGUGUGACUGCGUACCUUUUGUAUAAUGGGUCAGCGACUUAUAUUCUGUAGCAAGGUUAACCGUAUAGGGGAGCCGUAGGGAAACCGAGUCUUAACCGGGCGUUAAGUUGCAGGGUAUAGACCCGAAACCCGGUGAUCUAGCCAUGGGCAGGUUGAAGGUUGGGUAACACUAACUGGAGGACCGAACCGACUAAUGUUGAAAAAUUAGCGGAUGACCUGUGGCUGGGGGUGAAAGGCCAAUCAAACCGGGAGAUAGCUGGUUCUCCCCGAAAGCUAUUUAGGUAGCGCCUCGUGAAUUCAUCUCCGGGGGUAGAGCACUGUUUCGGCUAGGGGGCCAUCCCGGCUUACCAACCCGAUGCAAACUGCGAAUACCGGAGAAUGUUAUCACGGGAGACACACGGCGGGUGCUAACGUCCGUCGUGAAGAGGGAAACAACCCAGACCGCCAGCUAAGGUCCCAAAGUCAUGGUUAAGUGGGAAACGAUGUGGGAAGGCCCAGACAGCCAGGAUGUUGGCUUAGAAGCAGCCAUCAUUUAAAGAAAGCGUAAUAGCUCACUGGUCGAGUCGGCCUGCGCGGAAGAUGUAACGGGGCUAAACCAUGCACCGAAGCUGCGGCAGCGACGCUGAUGCGUUGUUGGGUAGGGGAGCGUUCUGUAAGCCUGUGAAGGUGGCCUGUGAGGGUUGCUGGAGGUAUCAGAAGUGCGAAUGCUGACAUAAGUAACGAUAAAGCGGGUGAAAAGCCCGCUCGCCGGAAGACCAAGGGUUCCUGUCCAACGUUAAUCGGGGCAGGGUGAGUCGACCCCUAAGGCGAGGCCGAAAGGCGUAGUCGAUGGGAAACGGGUUAAUAUUCCCGUACUUGGUGUUACUGCGAAGGGGGGACGGAGAAGGCUAUGUUGGCCGGGCGACGGUUGUCCCGGUUUAAGCGUGUAGGUGUGUGUUCCAGGUAAAUCCGGUUCACUUUAACACUGAGGCGUGAUGACGAGGCACUACGGUGCUGAAGCAACAAAUGCCCUGCUUCCAGGAAAAGCCUCUAAGCAUCAGGUAACAUCAAAUCGUACCCCAAACCGACACAGGUGGUCAGGUAGAGAAUACCAAGGCGCUUGAGAGAACUCGGGUGAAGGAACUAGGCAAAAUGGUGCCGUAACUUCGGGAGAAGGCACGCUGACACGUAGGUGAAGUGAUUUACUCAUGGAGCUGAAGUCAGUCGAAGAUACCAGCUGGCUGCAACUGUUUAUUAAAAACACAGCACUGUGCAAACACGAAAGUGGACGUAUACGGUGUGACGCCUGCCCGGUGCCGGAAGGUUAAUUGAUGGGGUCAGCGCAAGCGAAGCUCCUGAUCGAAGCCCCGGUAAACGGCGGCCGUAACUAUAACGGUCCUAAGGUAGCGAAAUUCCUUGUCGGGUAAGUUCCGACCUGCACGAAUGGCGUAAUGAUGGCCAGGCUGUCUCCACCCGAGACUCAGUGAAAUUGAACUCGCUGUGAAGAUGCAGUGUACCCGCGGCAAGACGGAAAGACCCCGUGAACCUUUACUAUAGCUUGACACUGAACAUUGAGCCUUGAUGUGUAGGAUAGGUGGGAGGCUUUGAAGCGUGGACGCCAGUCUGCAUGGAGCCGGCCUUGAAAUACCACCCUUUAAUGUUUGAUGUUCUAACGUGGACCCGUGAUCCGGGUUGCGGACAGUGUCUGGUGGGUAGUUUGACUGGGGCGGUCUCCUCCUAAAGAGUAACGGAGGAGCACGAAGGUUGGCUAAUCCUGGUCGGACAUCAGGAGGUUAGUGCAAUGGCAUAAGCCAGCUUGACUGCGAGCGUGACGGCGCGAGCAGGUGCGAAAGCAGGUCAUAGUGAUCCGGUGGUUCUGAAUGGAAGGGCCAUCGCUCAACGGAUAAAAGGUACUCCGGGGAUAACAGGCUGAUACCGCCCAAGAGUUCAUAUCGACGGCGGUGUUUGGCACCUCGAUGUCGGCUCAUCACAUCCUGGGGCUGAAGUAGGUCCCAAGGGUAUGGCUGUUCGCCAUUUAAAGUGGUACGCGAGCUGGGUUUAGAACGUCGUGAGACAGUUCGGUCCCUAUCUGCCGUGGGCGCUGGAGAACUGAGGGGGGCUGCUCCUAGUACGAGAGGACCGGAGUGGACGCAUCACUGGUGUUCGGGUUGUCAUGCCAAUGGCACUGCCCGGUAGCUAAAUGCGGAAGAGAUAAGUGCUGAAAGCAUCUAAGCACGAAACUUGCCCCGAGAUGAGUUCUCCCUGAGACUUAGAGUCUCCUGAAGGAACGUUGAAGACGACGACGUUGAUAGGCCGGGUGUGUAAGCGCAGCGAUGCGUUGAGCUAACCGGUACUAAUGAACCGUGAGGCUUAACCUUACA